rnacentral:rRNA from 1 species
ACGGGAGGCAGCAGUGAGGAAUAUUGGACAAUGGAGGCAACUCUGAUCCAGCCAUGCCGCGUGAAGGACUAAGGCCCUACGGGUCGUAAACUUCUUUUGACGCAGGGCAAUAAGGCGUACGUGUACGCCGAUGAGAGUAUGCGUCGAAUAAGCAUCGGCUAACUCCGUGCCAGCAGCCGCGGUAAUACGGAGGAUGCAAGCGUUAUCCGGAUUUACUGGGUGUAAAGGGCGUGUAGGCGGAGCUGCAAGUCAGAUGUGAAAUCCCGGGGCUCAACCCCGGAACUGCAUUUGAAACUGUAGCCCUUGAGUAUCGGAGAGGCAAGCGGAAUUCCUAGUGUAGCGGUGAAAUGCGUAGAUAUUAGGAGGAACACCAGUGGCGAAGGCGGCUUGCUGGACGACAACUGACGCUGAGGCGCGAAAGCGUGGGGAGCAAACAGGAUUAGAUACCCUGGUA